AGUGAACGCUGGCGGUAGGCCUAACACAUGCAAGUCGAACGGCAGCACAGUAAGAGCUUGCUCUUACGGGUGGCGAGUGGCGGACGGGUGAGGAAUACAUCGGAAUCUACUUUUUCGUGGGGGAUAACGUAGGGAAACUUACGCUAAUACCGCAUACGACCUACGGGUGAAAGCAGGGGAUCUUCGGACCUUGCGCGAUUGAAUGAGCCGAUGUCGGAUUAGCUAGUUGGCGGGGUAAAGGCCCACCAAGGCGACGAUCCGUAGCUGGUCUGAGAGGAUGAUCAGCCACACUGGAACUGAGACACGGUCCAGACUCCUACGGGAGGCGGCAGUGGGGAAUAUUGGACAAUGGGCGCAAGCCUGAUCCAGCCAUACCGCGUGGGUGAAGAAGACCUUCGGGUUGUAAAGCCCUUUUGUUGGGAAAGAAAAGCAGCAGGUUAAUACCCCGCUGUUCUGACGGUACCCAAAGAAUAAGCACCGGCUAACUUCGUG
rnacentral:rRNA from 1 species